rnacentral:rRNA from 1 species
AGCAGUAGCCACAGGAAUACGUAGGGUGCGGGCGCUAAUCGGAAUUACUGGGCGUAAAGCGUGCGCAGGCGGUUAUAUAAGACAGAUGUGAAAUCCCCGGGCUCAACCUGGGAACUGCAUUUGAGACUGUAUGGCUAGAGUGUGUCAGAGGGGGGUAAAAUUCCACGUGUAGCAGUGAAAUGCGUAGAUAUGCGGAGGAACACCGAUGGCGAAGGCAGCCCCCUGGGAUAACACUGACGCUCAUGCACGGAAGCGUGGGGAGCAAACAGGAUUAGAUACCCCAGUAGUCCCUGUCUCUUAUAA